UCCCAAAAUGCAGCUGAUUGACCAGCCUCCGGCUGUCUCCAACAGGAAACAGCCACCUAAUGAUGAAAAAAAGUGUUUGUGUGUGUUUCACUCAAUGGAAUCCAAGGCAAACUGCAACUCUUGAGGUUUACAUUUGACAAGAUAUUAAGUGAAGUUCUAAAUAUUUUCAUGACAGUUUAUAAAUAAACCAGACCCUGCAACAGGGGGUUUGCAUACAAAAAUGGAUUUAACUCCAUAUACUCAAUUAUGACUGCUCACAUUAAGGUCUGUAGAUCUUGAAGAAUUAAAGUCACAUCAAUGUUAGGGCCAACCCAAUUAAACGCUUUCACCAUCACACCAAAUUUAAUAAUAGAUACUAAUCAUUUACUUUUCAAAGUCCACAUGAACCAUGAUCAAACUUGGUACAAAUUGGAUCCACUGCAACAGUAUUUAUUUAUCUCAUUCUCAUCUCAAGAAUUCAAUUUUCAUCAAAAUGAUGACCUGUGUGUUAACUGUAUGCCAUUUUUCAUAAUCGGAGGACACAAGGCUAAACUGCCUGUCUUGUUGCCGGUUGCUGAAAACAUUUUCAAAAGUCAGUUCUUAAAUAGACUAAGAGGCAGCAAAAAAAAUAUUGUGAGUUCGGAUAACUUCACGGAGAACAAUGUGAGCAAAAUAUAAUCACAAUCUGUUUUAAGCUAAUUUAAGCAAUGCAAAAAAAAGACCGAAACACUGACUGUCAUAAGCGUGUCAUCAUUACAGUGACUGUAGCUUAUUCAACGAAAUGGUCUUCUCUUCAGCUGUCUCUCCUAUGCUCCCCGGUGUGUGUGUGUGUGUGUGUGUGUGUGUGUGUGUGGCUUAACAUGAAGCGCGAGAGCAGUUAUUAAUUAUUGGAAUUCCAUUCACUUCCACUAUAAUAGUUUAAACAGUGGAGCUUACACUUGCAUUAAGAAAAUCACUCUCAGCUCCGCUCUCCACAUACAGCCUCAAGCACUCAGCCUCAGCGUAAACCUGCAACUAUCACAAGCCCAGGCUGCAGCUCCCGGCAUCCAUUCAGUGCAGAUCCAGCCUCGGUCUGCAGCCUCAGCAACCAUCAACUCAAACUGCAUUUUCUGUCAAUCAGUCGCAGCCACGGCAUCUCCCAGCAUCUGAUUGACAGCAAACUUCUCCAGUUAAUGUCAUUGAAAGUCAAUGUUCCAGCAAUCGGGUUUUUGUGUCCUACAGGUUUUGUGAACUUGAAAUAUUUACAAUUAAUAUUCUCAGUCAACCUUGGGUGUGAGUUAUGAAGUCCGAUGAUUACAUUGGAGCCGCUCAGAAAGUAAAUACCCGUCAUUAUAAUGCAAUGAAGAGCAAAGUAUUAAUCACUGCAGUGGUGUUUUUUUCGAUGUACUGUUAACUUGGCUUGAAAACAGCAAAGGGAUCCAUGAUUAGGACAGACGACAAAAAAAGCUCCUAACCUUUAGCUUUCUUGACACUUUCUCCAAAGGGUUUGAAUGAUGAAUUAAGAGUUUUAGCUUUAAUUAUCUAACUUUUUAACCUUUUGUGACAGCAAUGAGUGGAAAUAAGUAAGAGAGAAAGUUUCUGAACAUUUAUU
ensembl:lncRNA